GAACGCGAAGAACCUUACCCGGGCUUGAAUUGCAGAGGAAGGAUUUAGAGAUAAUGACGCCCUUCGGGGCCUCUGUGAAGGUGCUGCAUGGUUGUCGUCAGCUCGUGCCGUGAGGUGUCGGCUUAAGUGCCAUAACGAGCGCAACCCCUCUCUUCAGUUGCCAUCAGGUCAUGCUGGGCACUCUGGAGACACUGCCACCGUAAGGUGUGAGGAAGGUGGGGAUGACGUCAAAUCAGCACGGCCCUUACGUCCGGGGCUACACACGUGUUACAAUGGCCGGUACAGAGGGAUGGUGUAAUGCAAAUUGCAUCAAAUCUUGAAAGCCGGUCCCAGUUCGGACUGGGGUCUGCAACCCGACCCCACGAAGCUGGAUUCGCUAGUAAUCGCGCAUCAGCCAUGGCGCGGUGAAUACGUUCCCGGGUCUUGUACACACC
rnacentral:rRNA from 1 species